rnacentral:lncRNA from 1 species
CGGGAAUUAGCAGACGACAAUUAUGUAUACAUUUCAUUUAAUUCAAUAACAAAACAAGCAAAAUAGCGUUUGUCGAAAAGAAAACAGUAUAGAAAAGAGAUUUAAUGUAAACGGACAUAAAUCAGGUGAUUGAAGCAGUUGGUUGGUCAUUUUAUUGCAAUUCAAUAUUUCAUGGAGACGGAAUGCACCAAUAACAUCGAUACCUCACACAUAUCAAAACCUG